rnacentral:rRNA from 1 species
CCUACGGGUGGCAGCAGUGGGGAAUAUUGCACAAUGGGGGAAACCCUGAUGCAGCGACGCCGCGUGAGUGAAGAAGUAUCUCGGUACGUAAAGCUCUAUCAGCAGGGAAGAAAAUGACGGUACCUGACUAAGAAUCCCCGGCUAACUACGUGCCAGCAGCCGCGGUAAUACGUAGGGGGCAAGCGUUAUCCGGAUUUACUGGGUGUAAAGGGAGCGUAGACGGCAGCACAAGUCUGGAGUGAACUCCCGGGGCUUAACCCCGGAACUGCUUUUGAAACUGUGAGGCUGGAGUGCAGGAGGGGUAAGCGGAAUUCGUGGUGUAGCGGUGAAAUGCGUAGAUAUGAGGAGGAACACCGGUGGCGAAGGCGGCUUACUGGACUGUAACUGACGUUGAGGCUCGAAAGCGUGGGGAGCAAACAGGAUUAGAUACCCGUGUAGUC